GGCAUUGGCUGAGGCGUCCAGCAGGCAAGUUUGGCGGCGCCAGAAAGGGGAGUCAGCUGACCUCCCCUUGCCUUGUCCACUCCCCCCAGUAGCUGCCUUGGGCUGCUGCAGCUGCUGCUGAGUCUGGCGAUGGUGGGCAAGUGCAGCCUCUUCCUGCUGCUCCCUGCCUGGGUUGCUGUUGCUCUCUGGCUGGGCUGUGCAGUGGUGCAAGGGGAGGUCUCCCUUGGCAGGGCCACCCAGGACUCCAGGGCCCCCCCAGAAACCCAGAGCCCCCCCACCCCUGAGACUGAGGCCCCCCAGGAGCCAGGGGGCCCCCACCCCAAGGUGCUGGGCUUCCGCCUGGAGGAGGGGGCCUCGGCCACUGGUGGCCUCAUCCGGGCAACCCCGGGGGCCACCUUCUGCCUGCGCCUCUAUGGCACCGGCUUGAGCAACAGCAGCUGGCCCUGGGUGGCCUUUGUGCCCGCGGGGACCUCCUGUGUGGCCCCUAGUGGGUCCCCCUCUGUGGGUCCCUCCCCUGCCGGGGCCCCCCAGGUGAUCCUGCGCCAGAUCCUGCCUGACAGGGAGCAUGCCGCCUUGGUGACGGUGAAGGUGGCCCCCGAGGGCACCCAGGGCGAGUACCGUCUCUGCAGCCCGGCCGGGCCCGGGCGCCAGUGGGCUCCAGCCGCCCCUGGGGAUGCUGUGUUGGUGACUGAGGAUGAAGGCGGGGGCGGGAGGGUGGGGGCUGUGGCCUUGGCCCCCUGGCUUCUGGGCACCCUGGUGGCCUUGCUCUUGGCCCUGCUGGCCUUGUUCCGGACCUUGCAGCUCAGCACCUUGUGGCUGGAUCCAGUGGAGCUGUACGUCUUGCGGGACUGGAGCUCGGAGUCGGAGCGGGAGGCCUCCAAAGUGCUGGAGCCCGUGAGGCAACGGGGGACCUUCGUGCUGUGCUCGCUGCUGCUCUUGAGCUCCUUCGCCCAUGCUGCCCUGGCCGUGCUUUUCUACAGGGCAGUGGGGAUGUUGGUGCCUGCAAUCAUGGGUGUGGCAGGCUUGGUCUUCCUGCUGGCCGAGGUGCUGCCCUUUGCCGUCAGUUCGCGGUGGGGGCUCUUGCUGGCUGCCCGUGGACUCUGGCUGACCCAGCUCUCCAUGCUGCUCACCUUCCCCAUCUCGCUGCCGCUCAGCAAGGUCCUGGAACUCGCCUUGCGUCACGACACCAGCACCUGCCUCUUGCGGGAGAAGAUCCUGGAUAUGGUCCGCAACAGUGACCCGUACAACGAGUUUGUGCGGGAGGAGUUCAGCAAGAGCGCUCUACGCAACAAGACCGUGGAGGACGUGCUGACGCCGCUGGACGAAUGCUUCAUGCUGAACUCCAGCGCCGUGCUGGACUUCAACAACAUGUCCAUGAUCAUGCAGAGCGGAUACAAUCGCAUCCCUGUCUACGAGGACGAGCGCACAAACCUGGUGGACAUGCUCUACGUCAAGGACUUGGCCCUGGUGGACCCUGACGACUGCACCCCGCUCAGCACCAUCAUCAAGUUCUACAAUCACCCGCUCCACUUUGUCUUCAACGACACCAAGCUGGACGCUGUGCUGGAGGAGUUCAAGCGAGGUAAAUCUCACAUGGCCAUUGUUCAGAAAGUAAACAACGAAGGUGAAGGUGACCCCUUCUAUGAGGUCAUGGGCUUGGUGACACUGGAAGAUGUCAUUGAGGAGAUCAUCAAGUCGGAGAUCAUGGAUGAGUCAGACGACUACAGGGAGAACAAGUUGAAGAAGAAGCCACCCCCGCUUGGGACUCUGAUGGAUCGCAGGAAAGAAGACUUCUCCUUGUUCAAAGUCUCUGACAAUGAGUAUAAGGUCAAAAUCUCCCCCCAGCUACUCCUGGCCACGCAGCGCUUCUUAUCCAGAGAGGUGGACCUCUUCAGCCCAGCCCGGAUUUCCGAGAAGGUGCUCCUGCACCUGCUGAAGCACCCCAGCGUCAAUCAGGAGGUGAAGUUUGACGAGAGCAACCGCCUGGCUGCUGAUCACUACCUGUACCAGCGCAACCAGCCGGUCAAUUACUUCAUCCUCAUCCUUCAGGGCAGGGUCGAAGUUGAGAUUGGAAAAGAAGGGCUGAAGUUUGAGAACGGAGCCUUCACGUAUUAUGGCGUCUCCGCACUGACCGCACCUUCCUCAGUUCAUCAGUCCCCAGUGUCCACCCUCCGGAUGAACCGCCGUGACCAGCAGCUUGACUGUGCAGAGACCACCAACUACUCCACUUACUGUCCUGACUACACUGUCCGGGCCCUGACUGACCUUCAGUUCAUUAAGGUCACUCGGCUGCAGUAUCUCAACGCUCUCAUGGCCUCCAGGAUACAGAACUCCCCACAAUCGCCCGAUACGAUCGAGCUGAAAAUCAUCCCCAGCAGCCAGACGAAGCUUCUGAACGAUAAGAAUGCCACGGCAGCCUUUCCGCUAAAUCUCUCUUUCCUUGGCACGAUUGAGAACUGCAUUUAAUACAGGCCUCUCUGCCAUAAUCUGGAGUGAGGUUUUUUUUUGAAAGCCACAAGGGAAAAGCAGAAGCAAGCUGAACCUACUGGAAGAGGAGAGCCUGAGCCGCAGCACAGGGGUCUGACCUGCCGAAGGCGGCUGCAGAGGGCUGGCACCAAGCAGGCUCCUUUGGACUCUCCUGCGCGUCUCCCGGCCUCCCCCUGUGCUUCGGAUGGCCCUUGAGUUUGGCACCUGCAUCCCAGAGAGACUCCCGGAAGCGAGGACUCUGGACAUCUCGAGUGGGCGGGCUGGAUGCCGCUCCGGCGACUUCUGGUGCUUCUUCCCAGCUAUGCACAGGACGUUGCUCCAGCAGGACUUCUGCAGAGCGGGGCCGAGCCAGGCGGGGUCUCCACGACUCCGUUAGCAGCGGACAGUAGCCAGCCAAUGCCUAGGACUCUGCUGGUUUUGUGUGAGCCGGGGCAAGCGAGGGUGCCGUGGCAGAAGCCUUCUCCUCUUCCCUUGCCAGCGUGGAUCCCCACCUUCUUUCUGUUCCCCCCCCCCACCGCCAUUUGUCACACGCUCCUCCAAGCUUGCACUGACCACCCCAAGGGUCCGCUGCGGAGCCCCCUUCCUGACUCUGCAGCGGGGAGGCAGGGUCCGCGGGACUCGCCCCGGGCGCCCCAGGGCAGGGGGACAGUUUCCGUUCGCUUUCCAGGGUCCUGAACGCUCCCUCUGUGCCAGUCCCUUGGACGCCGGGGCCUGGCCUCUGAGGAUCUGCCCUGAGCUUGCCAAGGGCUCGUGCCAGGCCGGGCAGCGGCUUUCUUGCCCAAAUUGUGCCAAAGCUCAGGCUUCCUGGAGCCACCACACAAGCCUUCUGGGUCUUCAGAUUUCGCUUGCCACCUGUGCCCUUCUGGGGGAGGGUGCUUGAGGGGAAAUGGAGGGGCCUCCACCACCACCACCACCACCGAGAGGCUACCUGUCUCCCAGCCAGCUCCUGCUUCUCUCCCUCCCUCCCUCCCUCUCUCUCCUCCUCGCCCUUCAACCACAAGCGCAGGCUUGUGAAGGCCUGUUGGUUCCGGCUGCAAACAGCCAGCAUAGCCUUGCUUGAAUUCUGGAGCUUAAAACACACACACCCACCCCAAACCCUCUCCUGCUUCCUCAUGUCAACGCCCAUUGCAGAGACAUGGAAUUUGCAGCACGGACCCUAAGCGCUGCCCACGUUACAGGCGCCAACGCCUCCAUCCGUGUCUUGUGGACGUCGACCCAAGAAGGCCCACCGGGGAGGGAAAGGAACUCAGUGGAGCUUCUCCAGCUUCUGGCCGCCCCUCCUUGCUUCCGGCCUCCGCACUCCGAAGAGCCACACCUCACUUCCUCUGGACCGUCCUUCCCGCCCGCCGUCAGGUGCAGGCCACGAAGCAUCGCAGGUUGAGCAAGCGUCCUGCUCCACUCCAGCGUUGGCAGAGAGACUGCCUCCUAGUUUUUCUAGUCGCUACUAACAGUAUUUUUCUCCCCCAGAGUUCCUAUUUUUUAACGGAAAUAAAAGACCAAGGAGCAAACACGGGAGGGAGGGAGAACAUGGGUUUCUCUCUCUCUCUCUCUCCCCCUCACUCCUCUCUUCACAACCAACAGCAGAACUUGUCUGAAAGCAAAUGUAUAAUUUCAGGUAAAUUAUUGUAACCUGCCUUUUAUGUUGUAGUCUUCCCGCAAGGACUGUACCUUCAAAUGGAAUAGUCUAACCUUA